rnacentral:rRNA from 1 species
CCUACGGGAGGCAGCAGUAGGGAAUCUUUCACAAUGGGCGAAAGCCUGAUGGAGCAACGCCGCGUGCAGGAUGAAGGCCUUCGGGUUGUAAACUGCUUUUAUAAGCGAGAAAUAUGAUGGUAACUUAUGAAUAAGGAUCGGCUAACUACGUGCCAGCAGCCGCGGUCAUACGUAGGCGCCGAGAAUUAUCCGGAGUGACUGGGUGUAAAAAGUUGCGUAGGUGGCAUAAUAAUUAGCUAGUGAAAUCUGGUGGCUUAACCAUUCAGACUAUUAGCUAAACUGUUAAGCUCGAGACGGUUAGGGGUAACUGGAAUGUCUAGUGUAGGGGUGAAAUCCGUAGAUAUUA